rnacentral:rRNA from 1 species
GAUGAACGCUGGCGGCGUGCCUAAUACAUGCAAGUAGAACGCUGAAGCUUGGUGCUUGCACCGAGCGGAUGAGUUGCGAACGGGUGAGUAACGCGUAGGUAACCUGCCUCUUAGCGGGGGAUAACUAUUGGAAACGAUAGCUAAUACCGCAUAAAAGUCGAUAUCGCAUGAUAUUGAUUUGAAAGGUGCAAAUGCAUCACUAAGAGAUGGACCUGCGUUGUAUUAGCUAGUUGGUGAGGUAACGGCUCACCAAGGCGACGAUACAUAGCCGACCUGAGAGGGUGAUCGGCCACACUGAGACUGAGACACGGCCCAGACUCCUACGGGAGGCAGCAGUAGGGAAUCUUCGGCAAUGGGGGCAACCCUGACCGAGCAACGCCGCGUGAGUGAAGAAGGUUUUCGGAUCGUAAAGCUCUGUUGUAAGAGAAGAACGAGUGUGAGAGUGGAAAGUUCACACUGUGACGGUAACUUACCAGAAAGGGACGGCUAACUACGUG